UACGUAGGGUGCGAGCGUUGUCCGGAAUUAUUGGGCGUAAAGGGCUCGUAGGCGGUUUGUCGCGUCGGGAGUGAAAUCCACUGGCUUAACUGGUGGCUUGCUUUCGAUACGGGCAGACUGGAGGUAUGCAGGGGAGAACGGAAUUCCUGGUGUAGCGGUGAAAUGCGCAGAUAUCAGGAGGAACACCGGUGGCGAAGGCGGUUCUCUGGGCAUGUCCUGACGCUGAGGAGCGAAGGCUAGGGGAGCGAACGGG
rnacentral:rRNA from 1 species